GUAGUAGAUAUUUGGUGGAAGGUGGGGAUAGCAAAUAGGCUCAGAUACUGCUGUGGCCUGGUUAACUGAAACCCACAGUAGCCAUAGCGAAAGCAAGUCUUCAUAGGGCAAUUUUGCUGCUUAUCCGUAGGCGCCAUAGCGAAAGCAAGUUUUUGUAGGGCAAUGCUUAUUGCUUAUGGACCUGAACUUGGGUGAUCUAUCCAUUAACAAAUAUAGGACGAAUUGCAGUUUAGUUAACUUAUCCAGCCGAUACUUUAGAAAUAGAGGAAAUUUAUGAGAGAAAUAGGAGAAUAAAGAUAAAUGAUCCAAAGUAAUUUAAUUGUUGAGCUAUUAUUAACUCUAGGAGCACAACAACUUUGUAUGCAUUGUAAUUUCUUUGUCAAGAAAUAUACCAAUUAUAUUUAUAGGGUCUGGUAACUCUUCUGCGUUCUCGGAGUACCUAAUAAUUUUUAUGUCAAUAAUCAACUUUAAUUGGUAAUGUAAAAGCCCAAUAAGCAACUUUAACUGGUAAGGGAAAAAGUCGUGUCAAUUAGCAACUUAAGUUAGAAAAGAAAGCACUUUUCCCCUAACUUUUCUUGUUUUUUUUUAGUUUGCUAUACAUCGAUUUGGAAGUUUGGUUUCUUAAUAUGUAUUAUUCAUUUACCAUUAUAUAUUCUUUUCAAAUAUAGAAUAAAGAUGUAUUUUUUCAAAUAAGUGUCUUUGUCUAAACACGGAACCAAAAAGCAGUUACUUGCAAAAACACAUUUAUUUUUACAAUAUCAACUACUGGCUUGAUUGAAGCUAAGUUGAGGCAGAGCUGAAUGAAACCAAAAAACGUAAACGGAGCAAAGCAGUUUAGUUCAAAGCUACCUUAAAGUAAUAUAGCAGGCAUGGCUUUCAACUCCUGCCCUCCAUUUUGAUUGGUCGUAGGAUCAAUUUCUCAAUCUUGAAAGUUUUGUAUUCACUGUAAUCAGGAGUUCAUUUCAAACAUGCUUUGGAUCAUAUCUGUACCUUAUAAUGGAUUUUUGCUCGUUCAUCU
rnacentral:lncRNA from 1 species